ACUUAUGUAUUGUUUAUUAGAAAUUGAGUUUUGUUCACCAUCCUGGGUUUUAUGUUCAUCGAAGACUUUGUCCGUGGAAUGCAAAAAGAAGAAGGAAACUACACAUAUAUUUUUGUCAUUUUAGUAUUUUAAAUUAAUCAUGCUUUUCUUAAUAGAUAUACUAAUGUAUAGAAGAAGGCUCGCCGUCUAAUCCAUCAACAAAAAGUAACAAAUCAGGGAAUCAUCCAUAUUGAACAUUGUCUGCGACAUGGCUGAGGAACCUGAUCGGAGUAGUGGCGGCAAAAGAUUUUCCAGCCGAGCCUUCCGAGAAGGUGCCGAAGCUCGAUUAUGUUCAGAGAAUUGUGGAAUUGUCUGUGUAUUCUGAUUGGAUUUUUUAUACGAGUUUUUUGACUCCAGAUAUUCUAAUAAAUUGUACUCUCCAUUUUUGUUGUUUUUUAUAAAUGGCAACUUGAAAACUAA